GCGCCCGUAGCUCAGAUGGAUAGAGUACUUGGCUACGAACCAAGGGGUCGGGCGUUCGAAUCGCUCCGGGCGCGCCA
rnacentral:tRNA from 3 species